rnacentral:rRNA from 1 species
CGGCAACAGCUCAAAUUUGAAAUCUGGCUUCGGCCCGAGUUGUAAUUUGCAGAGGAUGUUUCUGGCGCGGUGCCUUCCGAGUUCCCUGGAACGGGACGCCACAGAGGGUGAGAGCCCCGUAUGGUCGGACACCAAGCCUGUGUGAAACUCCUUCAACGAGUCGAGUAGUUUGGGAAUGCUGCUCUAAAUGGGAGGUAAAUCUCUUCUAAAGCUAAAUACCGGCCAGAGACCGAUAGCGCACAAGUAGAGUGAUCGAAAGAUGAAAAGCACCUUGAAAAGGGGGUUAAAUAGUACGUGAAAUUGUUGAAAGGGAAGCACUUAUGACCAGACUUGGGCCGGGCGGCUCAUCAGGGGUUCUCCCCUGUGCACUCCGCCCGGCACAGGCCAGCAUCGGUUUUCGCGGGGGGAUAAGACCGACGGGAACGUAGCACCCUCCGGGGUGUGUUAUAGCCCGGCGGACGAUACCCUCGCGGGGACCGAGGUCCGCGCUCCGCAAGGAUGCUGGCGUAAUGGUCAUCAGUGACCCGUCUUGAAACACGGACCAAGGAGUCGUCCAUUA